CCUACGGGAGGCAGCAGUGAGGAAUAUUGGUCAAUGGCCGGAAGGCUGAACCAGCCAAGCCGCGUGAAGGACGAAGGUGCCAAGCAUUGUAAACUUCUUUUGUCAAGGGACAAAAUCAGGCUCGAGAGCCUGACCGAGGGUACUUGAAGAAAAAGCAUCGGCUAACUCCGUGCCAGCAGCCGCGGUAAUACGGAGGAGGCGGGCGUUAUCCGGAUUUAUUGGGUUUAAAGGGUGCGUAGGCGGACUGUUAAGUCAGCGGUAAAAGCCCGGGGCUCAACCCCGGCGAGCCGUUGAAACUGGCGGUCUUGAGAUGUCGAGAGGUAUGCGGAAUGCGCAGUGUAGCGGUGAAAUGCUUAGAUAUUGCGCAGAACUCCGAUUGCGAAGGCAGCAUACCGGCGGCGAUCUGACGCUGAGGCACGAAAGCGUGGGUAUCGAACAGGAUUAGAUACCCGAGUAGUC
rnacentral:rRNA from 1 species